rnacentral:rRNA from 1 species
GCAGGCAGAUCCCCUUCGGGGGUGACGCUUGUGGAUCGAGCGGCGGACGGGUGAGUAACACGUGGGCAACCUGCCUGAGAGACUGGGAUAACCCCGGGAAACCGGGGCUAAUACCGGAUAAUACUUUUCUUUGCAUGAAGGGAAGUUGAAAGGCGGCCUUUGGCUGCCGCUCACAGAUGGGCCCGCGGCGCAUUAGCUAGUUGGUGAGGUAAAAGCUUACCAAGGCGACGAUGCGUAGCCGACCUGAGAGGGUGAUCGGCCACACUGGGACUGAGACACGGCCCAGACUCCUACGGGAGGCAGCAGUAGGGAAUCAUCCGCAAUGGACGAAAGUCUGACGGUGCAACGCCGCGUGAGUGAUGAAGGUUUUCGGAUCGUAAAGCUCUGUUGUGAGGGAAGAACAAGUGCCGUUUGAAUAAGGCGGCACCUUGACGGUACCUCACCAGAAAGCCCCGGCUAACUACGUGCCAGCAGCCGCGGUAAUACGUAGGGGGCAAGCGUUGUCCGGAAUUAUUGGGCGUAAAGCGCGCGCAGGCGGUCUUUUAAGUCUGAUGUGAAAGCCCACGGCUUACCGUGGAGGGUCAUUGGAAACUGGAGGACUUGAGUGCAGAAGAGGAGAGUGGAAUUCCACGUGUAGCGGUGAAAUGCGUAGAGAUGUGGAGGAACACCAGUGACGAACGCGACUCUCUGGUCUGUAACUGACGCUGAUGUGCGAAAGCGUGG